CCUGGCUAUUUUUUUAAUUUUUAAUUUUUAGAGAUUGGGGUCUCACCCUAUUGCCCAGGCUGGUGCUUCUGAUUGAAGUCCUCCAAAGGAUUUUCAUUGCAUUUAGACUGAAGUUUAAAUUUCUCACAGUGGCCUACAAGGACCUACAUGAUCUGACCUUUGCCUAGUCUUCUUACUCAACUCUGUGUCUUCCUUUCAAUGGAUAGAUUCAGGGCUGAACCAAGUGCAUCUGAACGGGUCUGGCCGAUCCCAGGCAGCUGGGGAAGGACACCCCGGUGUACUGAGCAGAGCUGGAAGAACACCAGCGCUGGGAUGAGUCAGAGGCUCUCAGAGUGUGUGCAGCACCAGAUGGUGGUUAAGGGAAAGAAGAAAGCCUAAAGACUGUUGAAUUAAAGGAGAUUUCAAAGGAAUGGAAGGAAAAACACAAGUUGAAUUUUGAAAGGUUUAAUCAAAACAGAUGGCAGAAUAUCUCAGCCUGAGGGAAGGGGAAAACUGUCUCAGAAGCCAUCUGAUUUAGGAGCUUCUUCACCCUGGCUUCCUGGGUCCCUGUCUGCUCCCGCCUGCAGGCUGACUGUUCAGACUGGUUAAUGAGGAAGGAAAGGUGUAUAUGUGCACACGCGUGCAUGUGUGUACCAGAUAAUAGAUAUGCCAGACACGAGAAUUAACAUUGUUAAAAUGCCCUUUUAAUUAAAGUUCUAUAAAU